UGGCGGCUGGCGGGGCACGCCGGGCACGCCCUGCAAGGCCGGGGUGCGGCCGCUCCGGCGCGCGCGUUCCCGGCAGCUAUGCUUUUUUUUUUUUUUUUUUUUUUUUUUUUUGCAGUAGAAAGGAGCAGGUAUGCGACGAGCCCGGAGCGAGGAAUUAGCCUUCUUCCUGCUCGCUGCGAUGCGGUGAACGCAGCCUGCGAGGCUGGCAGCGAAGUUUCUGAGCUCGGAGUCACACAGGCGAGCGCAGUAAAUCAUCGCAUCAACCCCAAGGUCAUUCCGUCGAGGGUCACUCAGCACAGCACCUCCCUCACCGCCCUCUGUCGCUUCACAGCACCAAAAACAGGCGAAGUUUCUCCGUUCCCAGCAACGCAAAGCGGGCUGCUCCUCCCCAUUCCAGGUGUUUCGACCCACACAACUGCACGGCAUUCCCCGUGCACCCUCUGCUGUCCCUUCCAGCUGUUCCAGAACUGCCUGCUCCUCCCAGCACUCAGCAGCUUACGAGCUUUCCAACGCCCGUUGCCAUCCAUUCUUUCUUCUGCCCAGUGCAGGAAAACCCACUGCCUGCCAUGCUCAAGAAGUCACUGCGCUGAAGGCACUCUCCUGGUAACUGAGAGGAGCUGCAGCCACCUGCAUGGACAUAGCCGUUCGGUGCUGCCUUGCACCUCAUGCAAUGGGUGUGAGCGUGAGACCACGCGAGUAACGCAGACACCAAAACCCAGAGUUAACGAUUUGCCCUUCAACACAUCAAUUUUGAGACCAAUUCGAAGCACAGCCAAUUCAGGUUGUGCUGUGUUCAGAACAGGCCUUAAGGAAGCACUGCUGUGCUUGUAACAGCCACCACACCAUUAAUAACAGCAGUGACGAACUGCUUUUCUUUUCAACGAGUCACCUUGGGUGGGAACGUUGGUUCCCAUUUUACCUUGGCUGGAAACAGAAAGCACAUUUCAUUGCGGUUUGGUUUUGUUUUCAGCUGCUCCAACCAAAGGAGCGUGGGGCUGUUGAUUCGCUGGCUGGUGGGAAUGUUGGGUUAAGAUGGUCGGUUUGAUAAGUAAGAAAAUACUCAGCACUUCCUUGUUGCGUUAUAGGGGAGGGGAUUUGUGCUGGUUACAUCAUUUGUGUCUAAACCUGCUGGAAGGAUCAUUAUCAAACAGCUCAGUUUUAAUGCCCAGAUGCCACAGAGGAGAAAUGCUAAUUUCCGUUACCUGGCUUAAUUAAAGUGAAAACUGAUUUCUGUUCAGAAUUAAUACAUUUCCUUCUAACAGUUUAAAACGGUUGAGCAUAUAAUUAUAGGAACAAGAAAUUAACCCA